CGCCAGUUUUGGCGGAGCCAUCCUUGGGAUACCACCCUUGUAGUACUGGGACUCUAACCAUAGGCCAUGAAUCUGGUCUUGGGACACUGUCAGGUGGGCAGAUUGACUGGGGCGGUCGCCUCCCAAACGGUAACGGAGGCGCUCAAAGGUUCCCUCAGUACGGUCGGAAAUCGUACGUAGAGUGUAAAGGCAAAAGAGAGCUUGAUUGCAAGACAUACAGGUCGAGCAAGGAUGAAAAUCGGACUUAGUGAUCCG
rnacentral:rRNA from 1 species